rnacentral:rRNA from 1 species
UGCGGCCUAUCAGGUAGUUGGUGGGGUAAAGGCCUACCAAGCCUGCGACGGGUAGCCGGACUGAGAGGUCGACCGGCCACACUGGAACUGAGACACGGUCCAGACUCCUACGGGAGGCAGCAGUGGGGAAUAUUGCACAAUGGGGGAAACCCUGAUGCAGCGACGCCGCGUGGAGGAUGACGGCCUUCGGGUUGUAAACUCCUUUUGUCAGGGACAAUAGUGAUGGUACCUGACGAAUAAGCCACGGCUAACUCUGUGCCAGCAGCCGCGGUAAGACAGAGGUGGCGAGCGUUGUUCGGAAUUACUGGGCUUAAAGGGCGCGUAGGCGGUGGUGUAAGUCUGGGGUGGAAUGCUACAGCUCAACUGUAGAGCUGCCUUGGAAACUGCAUUACUUGAGUCGGUGAGGGGAAGGCGGAAUUCCUGGUGUAGCGGUGAAAUGCGUAGAUAUCAGGAGGAAGGUCUGUGGCGAAGGCGGCCUUCUGGCACUUGACUGACGCUGAGGCGCGAAAGCGUGGGGAGCAAACAGGAUUAGAUACCCUGGUAGUCCACGCCCUAAACGGUGGGUAUUAGGUGUGGGGCCUUCAUGGGUUCCGUGCCGUAGCGAAAGCA